AUACGUAGGUGGCAAGCGUUAUCCGGAAUUAUUGGGCGUAAAGAGUGAGCAGGCGGUUAAUUAAGUCUGAGGGUAAAGCGUGGGGCUCAACCCCAUAAAGCCUUGGAAACUGAUUGACUAGGGUACGGGAGAAGUGAAGGGAACUCCAUGUGUAGCGGUGAAAUGCGUAGAUAUAUGGAAGAACACCAGAGGCGAAGGCGCUUCACUAGCCCGAAACUGACGCUCAGUCACGAAAGCGUGGGUAGCAAAUAGGAUUAGAUACCCUAGUAGUCCACGCUGUAAACGAUGACAACUAAAUAUUGCCGCGAGGCAGUGUUGAAGCUAACGCAUUAAGUUGUCCGCCUGGGGAGUACGGUCGCAAGACUGAAACUCAAAGGAAUUGACGGGG
rnacentral:rRNA from 1 species